rnacentral:rRNA from 1 species
AGCAGCCGCGGUAAUUCCAGCUCCAAUAGCGUAUAUUAAAGUUGUUGCAGUUAAAAAGCUCGUAGUUGAAUUUCGGGAUCAAUAUGUCGGUCGUGCCUCCGGUACGUACUGGCAUCAUUGAUUUCUCCCUUCUGACGAACCAUGAUGUCAUUAAUUUGGUGUCAUGGGGAGUCAGGACUGUUACUUUGAAAAAAUUAGAGUGUUUAAAGCAGGCUCACGCUUGAAUACAUUAGCAUGGAAUAAUGAAAUAGGACGUUUGAUCCUAUUUUGUUGGUUUCUAGGAUCGACGUAAUGAUUAAUAGGGAUAGUUGGGGGCAUUAGUAUUCAAUUGCCAGAGGUGAAAUUCUUGGAUUUAUUGAAGACUAACUACUGCGAAAGCAUUUGCCAAGGAUGUUUUCAUUAAUCAAGAACGAAAGUUAGGGGAUCGAAGACGAUCAGAUAUCGUCGUAG